GGCUGGAGUUCAGUGGUUAGAGCAUCAGCCUUGCAUGCAGAAGGUGCCAGGUUCAAUCCCCAGCAGGGUUG